rnacentral:rRNA from 1 species
CAGGCUUAACACAUGCAAGUCGAGGGGCAGCAUGGUCUUAGCUUGCUAAGGCCGAUGGCGACCGGCGCACGGGUGAGUAACACGUAUCCAACCUGCCGUCUACUCUUGGACAGCCUUCUGAAAGGAAGAUUAAUACAAGAUGGCAUCAUGAGUCCGCAUGUUCACAUGAUUAAAGGUAUUCCGGUAGACGAUGGGGAUGCGUUCCAUUAGAUAGUAGGCGGGGUAACGGCCCACCUAGUCUUCGAUGGAUAGGGGUUCUGAGAGGAAGGUCCCCCACAUUGGAACUGAGACACGGUCCAAACUCCUACGGGAGGCAGCAGUGAGGAAUAUUGGUCAAUGGGCGAGAGCCUGAACCAGCCAAGUAGCGUGAAGGAUGACUGCCCUAUGGGUUGUAAACUUCUUUUAUAAAGGAAUAAAGUCGGGUAUGGAUACCCGUUUGCAUGUACUUUAUGAAUAAGGAUCGGCUAACUCCGUGCCAGCAGCCGCGGUAAUACGGAGGAUCCGAGCGUUAUCCGGAUUUAUUGGGUUUAAAGGGAGCGUAGAUGGAUGUUUAAGUCAGUUGUGAAAGUUUGCGGCUCAACCGUAAAAUUGCAGUUGAUACUGGAUAUCUUGAGUGCAGUCGAGGCAGGCGGAAUUCGUGGUGUAGCGGUGAAAUGCUUAGAUAUCACGAAGAACUCCGAUUGCGAAGGCAGCCUGCUAAGCUGCAACUGACAUUGAGGCUCGAAAGUGUGGGUAUCAAACAGGAUUAGAUACCCUGGUAGUCCACACGGUAAACGAUGAAUACUCGCUGUUUGCGAUAUACAGCAAGCGGCCAAGCGAAAGCGUUAAGUAUUCCACCUGGGGAGUACGCCGGCAACGGUGAAACUCAAAGGAAUUGACGGGGGCCCGCACAAGCGGAGGAACAUGUGGUUUAAUUCGAUGAUACGCGAGGAACCUUACCCGGGCUUAAAUUGCAGAUGAAUUACGGUGAAAGCCGUAAGCCGCAAGGCAUCUGUGAAGGUGCUGCAUGGUUGUCGUCAGCUCGUGCCGUGAGGUGUCGGCUUAAGUGCCAUAACGAGCGCAACCCUUGUUGUCAGUUACUAACAGGUUCCGCUGAGGACUCUGACAAGACUGCCAUCGUAAGAUGUGAGGAAGGUGGGGAUGACGUCAAAUCAGCACGGCCCUUACGUCCGGGGCUACACACGUGUUACAAUGGGGGGUACAGAGGGCCGCUACCACGCGAGUGGAUGCCAAUCCCCAAAACCUCUCUCAGUUCGGACUGGAGUCUGCAACCCGACUCCACGAAGCUGGAUUCGCUAGUAAUCGCGCAUCAGCCACGGCGCGGUGAAUACGUUCCCGGGCCUUGUACACACCGCCCGUCAAGCCAUGGGAGCCGGGGGUACCUGAAGUGCGUAACCGCGAGGAGCGCCCUAGGGUAAAACUGGUGACUGGGGC